AUUAUGUAGCAUAUCACGCUUAGCAUCAUAAAAUUUUUAAACGUUUUAAAUUGGCUAUUAAAGAUCAAAUUGAUCAUUACGCGUUUUGGAUUUUAUUGAUUUAAAUCAUUUCAAUAUUGCGAAAUUUGUUUUUUAUUAAUAACGACCUCGAUAUUACAAAACAAGACUAGGGUUUAAAGUUUUUAAAAACGGUGAGAAAUGAUAAAAAAAAUAGUAGGAUGAAACUCAUUGUGAAAAGGAGAAGAAUAUAAUAAAAUUUGAUGUUGAGGGAAGUUAUUUAAGGGUGAAAAACAGUUAUAUUUGCGAUUCUUCCAGAUAACCUCAAAAUUUGUGUACAAAUUCAAAGAUCCUAGUUUUACGUUUCGUAUUGUUAUUUCUUAAAAAAAUUUGUUUUUUGUUACGAAAUUCCGUGGAAACUUUGUAUUUGUACUUUGGAGUUAGAAAAUAUACCGGGUGGGCAACUAUUCGCUCCGAGUGUGACUGCAGCGUCACAGUGAAUAUGACUACGGGAGGCUGUCAGCAUGUUUUAAACAGAAAAAUUUUGGAAUAAAAGUAUAAUAAAUAGUAAUAAAUUAGUCGUCAAGAAUAAAUGUGACAAUUUAAUACUUAUCUUGAACAAGCCAAAAACACAAUUGAACCAAAGACAUGGAUAUUAUUAUAAAAACAGGAUUUCAGUCUAUCAGCCAUGAAAUAAACUUUCAACCAGAAACUAUAACCAAGGGUAAAAAUCUUGUUCUUGCUGGACAUGUGAGAGAAGUUGAGGAACAUCGAUGAAAUUUUGACAGUUUUUUAAUAGUUUCUGAUAAUUUAGAUACUUGUAACAAAGAAGAUGAAAGUACAUCUCAAAAAUGAAGCUUCACUGGAAAUGAUCUUGCAAAUAUUUUAAUAUAGGUAAUAAUUUAUUUUCUAUGAUGUAUAAUGGUGUAAAAGUCAAUACAGUAUUUUCCUUAUUAGUUACUUGAAAAGCAAUAUUUGUUAAGUGAGUGAAAACUAAAAAGUGUUAUUGUGUGUUACAAUAAUGUCUAUUUGAAAGAAUUUUAUUAUUCGUUAAUAAUUUGUUAGUUAUAAACAAGUUUAAAAGAAUAUAACUGUUUAUUACAAUAAGUUUAAUUAUUAAUUUUAUUAAAAGCUCACAAUAAAUUUAAAAUUUCUUACAAA